GUGUGGAGCCGCCUUCACCCCACCCUCCUCCCCCCUGCCAGGGGCCGCAGAGACAUACCAGCAUCCAGCCACUUCUGGGAGUGGCGUGAGGCCACGGCAUGCAGGCAGCCUGCCUGAGCGCCUCGCUGUGCCACAAGACUUUUAGUGGCCCAGAGCUGGAGUUAAUACACUGUUAGUUUGCUACAGUAUUGAUACAGCCUUGUCUUUGGUUUGAGAUCUGAGGACAAAUGACCUGGGGCACUUUGGCGUUCCCACCUUGGAUGGCCUUGUUCUGUACUGUGCUGUCAUUAUCAAAGGGAAGUGUGUAAAAUAACUCUUCAUCGCACCAGGAGAAUUUAUUGCUACAAUAAAAAUAAAGGCCCCCUAGGUUCACUGAGUCCACUGUCCUGAAGACAGAGAGAGUAAGCUUGAGGAAUUUACUGCAGCAUACCACUGGGUCAUUGUACCUACCUGAAGAGUUGGCUCAGCAGACAGCUGGAGACAUCAAUAAAGAAAAUGCAGCCUAA